AAAAACAGUAGAAAACCAGCGUCAACACACUGCAUUUAUAGCUAAAACAGCAUAUACUUUGCUGUUACACCAUCCAAAAACUACAUUUAUAGCAAAAAAAAAAGCAUAUGGUGCAGCUUUAGUUUGUUACGUACAUUUUCCCAAAUUGACUAACAUCUAACUACGCAAACAAAAUACCAAAACUAUGAUUCUUAUAUAAUUACUUUCCAAAAUAAAUGAGCUUGUUC
rnacentral:lncRNA from 1 species